rnacentral:lncRNA from 1 species
AAAAAAAAAUACGUUGAUUAGACCAACCAAUAGAAAAAGAAGAAAAAUUUGUUAAACAAACAUUUAAAAAAGGAAAAUGUUAUUGAACAAAGAAAAAAAUGUGCUUUGCACCUACCAUCGGACCAGCGUGCUGAUUACUCAUGAAUCCGCGAAGUAUUUACUAAUAACCGCCGAAGACACUGGCACCGGCAACGGUCGUACGUUUGUUGACAAUACGUACGGAGCCACCAAGGUGCGUACAAAUUGUAUUAUUUUUAGGUUUUUUUUUUAUUUGUUUAUGAUCGCGUUUAUAAUAGCGAUUGAACGGUUUUGUUUUUGCGUUUGUGUUCCGUGUAGAAAUUUUUCGAAAUUUUGCCGCAAUUUGAACACUCAGUACAGCGGCGGUGGCAAACGGGGCACCAAUUUCACUGUGCAGUAGACCAUAUCCGGUUUAAUGGCCAUUAAAACGAGGAAGAUCGGCCAAAUCUCGUGGCUCGUCCUGUCACAAUCAUCACCGGGUUGUUCUCCCACUCGUCAACGGUGAGGUUUGGUUACGACUGGCUCUUAAACGAUCAUUAAUGUUCAAUAAUAACCUUUCCGCCCGUUUUUGAUAUUUUCAGCUACGAGCGAUGGUCGCGAAGAACACACUAGGCGUACGUGCCAGGGCCAUGCGCAAACAGGCCGAAGAACAGCGAUUGAAAUCCGUGGCCGACAUCACGGCCAAUUAAAACCAACAGCAACAACGCCCCGCACCUCGUCACCGGCUAGCGGUUGAAUCGUUAACAGUUAGUUAUUAAUUUUUUUAUUUUUUCGCAUAAUUAGUUUGAUAAUACUGUAGUCCUAAGUUUUUUUUUUUUUUUCAUUAUUAUUUCACUUGUCUACAGUUUGUGAGUUGUUAGAGAUAUAAUAUUUAGGUUAAGGUUAAGCGGACACUUUUUUCUACGUUUUUUUUUAUUUAUUAUUUUAAACGGUUCUGAAUUUUCAUUUCCAUUGUAGGUUUUCUUAAGAGACACUCUCACAAUAAAUGGUUGAUCUCUGUCGACAGUUGCUUAUGAGCUCAGGUGCAAUGGUAGUGUCGGAAACUCGGGGUUUAAAAUCCCAGUGACAUCAGUUACUUUUUUAUUGCACAUUUCUUUCGUGAUGAAUGGAAUGUGCAAUAAUAUGUAGUAUGGUAUAGGUUUCGUCGGUGUACGUUUUUGCUAAUGCUAGGGUCUACGUUUUUUUUCUUUCUAUUUUUUUUUUUUUUUACAUUUACUGUGAUUGAACGCUUCUUUUCGCAGAAUUAUCACAAAUAAAUUAAUAUUAUUCAGUUGUCGAUCAUUUACCUGCGAAGUAAAAGCACCAUUGAUCAGCAUAAGUUAUUUUCGGUUAUAAGUUAACAAAUAACGAAUCGUCAGAAAUAGUUCGAGGUCUUCGUAAUAAUUUUAAUAUAUUGGAUAUUUUUUUUUUUUUUUUUGGCCAUUGAUGACAAGAAAAAUUACGGAUCUUGCACUCGUAAAUAUUAUUUCUUAUCGGGUAUGUAAUAGAAAAUAAGAAACUUACGGUUUUACCCGUAAAUCACAUGCAAAACUCUCAUGGAUUUUGUAAUUAUUAAUUCCUAGCGGUUAAGUAUUAAAAAUAAGAAAAUUACGGUUGAACACGUAAAAGGACAUCCAUGGAUAAAUAUUAGAUAUCCACGAAAUCGCAAACUGGUUCGCUCCGUCUUCCUAUCGUUUCGUGGAUGNUAUGAUUUUUGAUCACGAUGUGACAUCAUAACAUAAUUAUUUAUAGGUUAAGUCUUUGUAUAUAAUUUUCUUCAAUAAUUGUCACACAGAGACGCGUCACGGUUCUUUCCGUCGUCUCGUUCAGUGGGACGAGGAAAACGUAUGAACCAUUAUAAUUAAAUUUUAAAUUAGUGAUGACGAGAAUGAAAAAUAUCUCGUUUUCAAAUAGUUUUUUUUUCGUUUUUUUUUUUAGUGUUUAAGUUUGAUGUGUUUAAUAACAGUACCAAUUUUUAUGGCAUACAUUUUAUUUUUAUAUAAAAGAUUAUAUAAAAAAAAACUAAAAUUGAAAAAUUAAAAAAAAAAAAAAACAUGUUUCAUGUUAAAAUUGUCACAUACGAUGUUAAUAUUAGAAACCCACUUAAACGACUGCUAACUCACGUUAGCAUGUCUUAAGGGGGCUUUAAGGUUAGGCUAAGUAUAGGUUAAGUUUUGAUUUGGUUUGGUUUUUUUUUUUUUUUUUUUCUAAAUUAUUUCUAUUUAAAUGUAUUGGCAUUACUGUCCUUACCCUUCAUCGAUUAAAUAAUUAUGAAUUUCGAUCGCGAUGUGACAUCUUAAACAUGGCUAUUCGUUAUGAAAACAUAAUUAUUUAUAGGUUAAUUCUUUGUAUAUAAUUUUCUUCACCACCUAUCAAGUCCCACGGAAUACGUCACGGUUCGCUCCGUCGUCUCGUUCUGUGGGAUAGUAACAACAGUUACUAUAGGUAAAUCUAAUUUCACCCAGUCGUGAAAUAUCUAUGAAUAACUAUUAGGUUGGUAUUUGUCAAUAAAAUCAUGCAUAUAAUAUAUCAUGAAUUGAAAAUCCAGAUAAUUUAGGUUAAUUUUGUUGUGUUGCGUGGUUACAGGGUGUUCUACAGCGUUCGAUGGAUUUCUCUUGAUCUGUUAAUAUUCAAUUUGUUUUGAUUUUAGUUUUUUUUUUUUUUUUUUAAUUCGCUUUUCUUUGUGCAGUAAAUAAUUGUUUUAGUAAAAUUAUAUUUUAGUUUUUCUUCCGUGUAUUUCCCUCGCAGAUCAGGUGCUGAUUAUAAGAAUUUAAUUUUUCUGGAAAUAUAUGGGAAACUCUCAUAGGAAACUUCGGUUUGAAAAAUAGUCAUUCUUGUUUUUUUGAACAAGUAGAACAUUAACAGCUCUUGAAAAAUCCGUCGGACGCAGCGGAAUUCCCCGUACACCGUAAUACAAUUUAGGUUAUCGAUAUAGGUUUAAUUGUACCGUGAUACGCAGCAUCCUAUCACGGUACCACAAUAUGACACUUUUGCAAUUGUUGGUCACUACCCGCGAUUUAUACGCAGUUUUGAUCAACCGAUAGGCUAAGCAUAUUUUGGUUGGUUUUUUUUUUUUCUAAAUUUUUCUAUCCUAACGUAUG